UACGUAGGGGGCAAGCGUUGUCCGGAUUUAUUGGGCGUAAAGAGCGUGUAGGCGGCUAGGUAGGUCCGUUGUGAAAACUCGAGGCUCAACCUCGAGACGCCGAUGGAAACCAUCUAGCUAGAGUCCGGAAGAGGAGAGUGGAAUUCCUGGUGUAGCGGUGAAAUGUGCAGAUAUCAGGAAGAACACCCGUGGCUAAGGCGGCUCUCUAGUACGGUACUGACGCUGAGACGCGAAAGCGUGGGGAGCGAACAGG
rnacentral:rRNA from 1 species